UUUUGUCUCAUGAAAUUGAAAGAACAUUGGGAGCUUUCCGUGUUAACAGUCACAAAUUACUCGAUGAUUAAAAAGGGGAAAUAGUAACCCCAUGAGGGAGAAACUCUGACAGCAUAUUAACCCAAUCGGCCCUUAUGAAUAUCAAUAAGAGGACAAACUGAUAUCCGCCUCACACCUCUGUACGCGAUGCACUGAGGACACAGCAUCACCAACCGGAGAGCUGGUCUGUUUGCCUGGCCCUGGAAGUGGACUCGGCCUCUGACAGACAGAUAAAGCCAUCUCCAGCCACACCUUUCCUCUUCCCAACAGAUGAAGGACUUCAGUUCGAAGAGUUACCGAGCAUCUACUCUGUACCAGGCACUCUCCCAGCACCUGAGAAUCCAGUGAUAAAGGAGGAAGAAAAGGGUGUUGUCUGCAGAGGAUCCUAAAUUUUUGGCCCACGUUUGUGAAGGGUUCCCUACUACCAGAUGCUUUGGGAGAUUACUUUCUUUUUCAAGAAAUAUUGUGUUUCAAAAUGGCGACAAUAUUUUGAA